rnacentral:rRNA from 1 species
UACGUAGGGGGCAAGCGUUGUCCGGAUUUAUUGGGCGUAAAGAGCGUGUAGGCGGCCAUACAGGUCAGCUGUGAAAACUCGAGGCUCAACCUCGAGACGUCGGUUGAAACCGUAUGGCUAGAGUCCGGAAGAGGAGAGUGGAAUUCCUGGUGUAGCGGUGAAAUGCGCAGAUAUCAGGAAGAACACCCGUGGCGAAGGCGGCUCUCUGGGACGGUACUG